rnacentral:rRNA from 1 species
AAAUUGAAGAGUUUGAUCAUGGCUCAGAUUGAACGCUGGCGGCAGGCCUAACACAUGCAAGUCGAGCGGAAACGAGUUAUCAGAACCUUCGGGGAACGAUAACGGCGUCGAGCGGCGGACGGGUGAGUAAUGCCUAGGAAAUUGCCCUGAUGUGGGGGAUAACCAUUGGAAACGAUGGCUAAUACCGCAUGAUGCCUACGGGCCAAAGAGGGGGACCUUCGGGCCUCUCGCGUCAGGAUAUGCCUAGGUGGGAUUAGCUAGUUGGUGAGGUAAGGGCUCACCAAGGCGACGAUCCCUAGCUGGUCUGAGAGGAUGAUCAGCCACACUGGAACUGAGACACGGUCCAGACUCCUACGGGAGGCAGCAGUGGGGAAUAUUGCACAAUGGGCGCAAGCCUGAUGCAGCCAUGCCGCGUGUGUGAAGAAGGCCUUCGGGUUGUAAAGCACUUUCAGUCGUGAGGAAGGUAGUGUAGUUAAUAGCUGCAUUAUUUGACGUUAGCGACAGAAGAAGCACCGGCUAACUCCGUGCCAGCAGCCGCGGUAAUACGGAGGGUGCGAGCGUUAAUCGGAAUUACUGGGCGUAAAGCGCAUGCAGGUGGUUUGUUAAGUCAGAUGUGAAAGCCCGGGGCUCAACCUCGGAAUUGCAUUUGAAACUGGCAGACUAGAGUACUGUAGAGGGGGGGGGGUAGAAUUUCAGGUGUAGCGGUGAAAUGCGUAGAGAUCUGAAGGAAUACCGGUGGCGAAGGCGGCCCCCUGGACAGAUACUGACACUCAGAUGCGAAAGCGUGGGGAGCAAACAGGAUUAGAUACCCUGGUAGUCCACGCCGUAAACGAUGUCUACUUGGAGGUUGUGGCCUUGAGCCGUGGCUUUCGGAGCUAACGCGUUAAGUAGACCGCCUGGGGAGUACGGUCGCAAGAUUAAAACUCAAAUGAAUUGACGGGGGGCCCGCACAAGCGGUGGAGCAUGUGGUUUAAUUCGAUGCAACGCGAAGAACCUUACCUACUCUUGACAUCCAGAGAACUUUCCAGAGAUGGAUUGGUGCCUUCGGGAACUCUGAGACAGGUGCUGCAUGGCUGUCGUCAGCUCGUGUUGUGAAAUGUUGGGUUAAGUCCCGCAACGAGCGCAACCCUUAUCCUUGUUUGCCAGCGAGUAAUGUCGGGAACUCCAGGGAGACUGCCGGUGAUAAACCGGAGGAAGGUGGGGACGACGUCAAGUCAUCAUGGCCCUUACGAGUAGGGCUACACACGUGCUACAAUGGCGCAUACAGAGGGCAGCCAACUUGCGAAAGUGAGCGAAUCCCAAAAAGUGCGUCGUAGUCCGGAUUGGAGUCUGCAACUCGACUCCAUGAAGUCGGAAUCGCUAGUAAUCGUGGAUCAGAAUGCCACGGUGAAUACGUUCCCGGGCCUUGUACACACCGCCCGUCACACCAUGGGAGUGGGCUGCAAAAGAAGUAGGUAGUUUAACCUUCGGGGGGACGCUUACCACUUUGUGGUUCAUGACUGGGGUGAAGUCGUAACAAGGUAGCGCUAGGGGAACCUGGCGCUGGAUCACCUCCUUAAACGAUGAU